rnacentral:rRNA from 1 species
UACGUAGGCAGCAAGCGUUGUUCGGAAUUACUGGGCGUAAAGAGUGUGUAGGCGGUGUUCCAAGUCUGUUGUGAAAUCUCCCGGCUUAACUGGGAGGGUGCGGCGGAAACUGGGAUGCUAGAGGAUGGGAGAGGUAAGCGGAAUUCCUGGUGUAGCGGUGAAAUGCGUAGAUAUCUGGAGGAACACCGGUGGCGAAGGCGGCAUCCUGGACCAACACUGACGCUGAGUGAGCGAAAGCCAGGGGAGCAAACGGG